ensembl:lncRNA
CAGGAGCUGCUGUGGGGCAGAUGUUGGUCAGAUCUAUGGGGUAGAAGCUGCUGUGGGGCUGAUGGGGGUCAUAUCUAUAAGGCAGGAGCUGCUGUGGGGCUGACGUGGGUCAGAUCUAUGGGGCAGGAGCUGCUGUGGGGCUGAUGUGGGUCAGAUCUAUGGGGCAGGAGCUGCUGUGGGGCACAUGUGGGUCAGAUCUAUGGGGCAGGAGCUGCUGUGGGGCUUAUGUGGGCUAUGUCUAUGGGGCAGAAACUGCUGUGGGGCUAAUGUGGGUCAUAUCUAUAAGGCAGGAGCUGCUGCGGAACUGACGUAGGGCAGAUCUAUGGGGCAGGAGAUGCUGUGGGGCUGAUGUGGGUCAGAUCUAUGGGGCAGGAGAUGCUGUGGGGCACAUGUGGGUCAGAUCUAUGGGGCAGGAGCUGCUGCGGGGCAGAUUUGGGUCAGAUCUAUGGGGCAGGAGCUGCUGUGGGGCUGAUGUGGGUCAGAUCUAUGGGGCAGGAGAUGCUGUGGGGCAGAUGUGGGUCAGAUCUAUGGGGCAGGAGCUGCUGUGGUUCAGAUCUAUGGGGCAGGAGCUGCUGUGGGGCACAUGUGAGUCAGAUCUAUGUGGCAGGAGCUGCUGUGGGGCACAUGUGGGUCAGAUCUAUGGGGCAGGAGCUGCUGUGGGUCAGAUUUGGGUCAGAUCUAUGGGGCAGGAGCUGCUGUGGGACUGAUGUGGGUCAGAUCUAUUUGUCAGGAGCUUCUCUGUGGCACAUGUGGGUCAGAUCUAUGGGGAGGGAGCAGCUGUGGGGCAGAUUUGGGUAAGAUCUAUAAGGCAGGAGCGGCUGUGGGGCUGAUGUGGGUCAGAUCUAUGGGGCAGGAGCUGCUGUGGUGCACAUGUGGGUCAGAUCUAUGGGGCAGGAGCUGCUGUGGGGAUGAUUUGGGUCAGAUCUAUGGGGCAAAAUCUGCUGUGGGGCUGAUGUGGGUCAGAUCUAUGGGGCAGGAGCUGCUGUGGGUCAGAUCUAUGAGUCAGGAGCUGCUGUGGGGCACAUGUGGGUCAGAUCUAUGGGGCAGGAGCUGCUGUAGUGCAGAUGUGGGUCAGAUCUAUGGGGCAGGAGCUGCUGUGGGGCAGAUGUGGGUCAGAUCUAUGGGGCAGGAGCUCCUGUGGGGCACAUGUAUAUCAGAUCUUUGGGGCAGGAGCAGUUGUGGGGAUGAUGUGGGUCAGAUCUAUGGGGCAGGAGCUGCUGUGGGGCUGAUGUGGGUCAGAUCUAUGGGGCAGGAUCUCCUGUGGGGCUGAUGUGGGUCAAAUCAAUGGGGCAGAGCUGCUCUGGGGCACAUGUGGGUCAGAUCUAUGGGGCAGUAGAUGCAGUAGGGGCACAUGUGGGUCAGAUCUAUGGGGCAGGAGCUGCUGUGGGGAUGAUUGCGGUAAGAUCUAUAGGGCAGGAGCUGCUGUGAGGCAGAUGUGGGUCAGAUCUAUUGGGAAGGAUCUGCUGUGGGGUAGAGGUGGGUCAGAUCUAUGGCAGGAGCUGCUGUGGGGCAGAUGUGGGUCAGAUCUAUGGGGCAGUGUCUCGCUCCAAUUUAGGAGUGAGGCAAAUGUUCUUUUGCUAUGUUAUGCCCUGCGUGAGAUGAAGAAGAGCAUCAAAUUGCGAUC